rnacentral:rRNA from 1 species
UAUUGCGCAAUGGGCGGAAGCCUGACGCAGCGACGCCGCGUGAGCGAAGAAGGCCUUCGGGUCGUAAAGCUCUGUCCUUGGGGAAGAAGGCGAAAGCUUGACGGUACCCAAGAAGAAAGCCCCGGCUCACUACGUGCCAGCAGCCGCGGUAAUACGUAGGGGGCGAGCGUUGUCCGGAAUUACUGGGCGUAAAGGGUGCGUAGGCGGCCUUUUAAGUCAGAUGUGAAAGGCUGCGGCUUAACCGCAGGACUGCAUUUGAAACUGGAAGGCUUGAGUGUCGGAGAGGGUAGUGGAAUUCCCAGUGUAGCGGUGAAAUGCGUAGAUAUUGGGAGGAACACCAGUGGCGAAGGCGACUACCUGGACGAUAACUGACGCUGAGGCACGAAAGCUAGGGGAGCAAACAGG